UACGGGGGGGGCAAGCGUUGUUCGGAAUUACUGGGCGUAAAGGGCUCGUAGGUGGCCAACUAAGUCAGACGUGAAAUCCCUCAGCUUAACUGGGGAACUGCGUCUGAUACUGGAUGGCUUGAGUUUGGGAGAGGGACGCGGAAUUCCAGGUGUAGCGGUGAAAUGCGUAGAUAUCUGGAGGAAUACCGGUGGCGAAGGCGGCAUCCUGGACCGGCAUUGACGCUGAGGAGCGAAAGCUAGGGGAGCAAACGGG
rnacentral:rRNA from 1 species